rnacentral:rRNA from 1 species
GACGAACGCUGGCGGCGUGCCUAAUACAUGCAAGUCGAACGAAGUGGGGACGGGUGAGGAACACGUGGGUAACCUCCCAUCAGAGGGGAUAACACUUGGAAACAGGUGCUAAACCGAGACGGAUGGAUGAACCCGCGGUGCAUUAGCUAGUUGGUGAGGUAACGGCUCACCAAGGCAACGAUGCAUAGCCGACCUGAGAGGUUGAUCGGCCACUCUGGGACUGAGACACGGCCCAGACUCCUACGGUAGGCAGCAGUAGGGAAUCUUCGGCAAUGGACGAAAGUCUGACCGAGCAACGCCGCGUGAGUGACGAAGGUUUUCGGAUCGUAAAACUCUGUUGUUAGAGAAGCGGUAUCUAACCAGAAAGCCACGGCUAACUCCGUGCCAGCCGCCGCGGUAAUAC